CCAGAAUUUAGAUUUUGUAACACCAAUACAGAGAAUCUUGCAUCAAAAGAUAAGCCCUAUUAUGUUUUUGAAAAAGCACAAACACCUAACUUUUCAGAAAUCUUUUAUAUAUGUCCUAUAUUUAUAGUACCUCUGUGAUAUGGAUUAUUCAAGAAUCAUAAAGGAAUUUCAUACAUUAAAAUAAAUUACAAUAUUUUAUCACAAGCUGCUUGGAGCACUUAAAGGAAAUCCAUAUACCGUGUUAUUUAUUAAGUAAUUAUAUUUGAGAUGACUAAGUAAAAAUAAAAAUGCUUCCCUCUUGUGACAUGUAAUCGCCUAAUUUUCCUUACUUUGUCGUAAGUAUUCUUUGUCGAUGUUAAGAAAAUGGAAAAAAUAAUGCUUAAAAAUAUAAAAAUGAGUGGGAUAUUAUUUUUAUCUUUUUCAUCCUGACCCAAAUACUGUUUUUCAUUUUUCCUCUUGCUUUGCCACUAUAACUCUCUUGGUGUAUAUUCUUCCAUAAGCCUAAACACAGGGUCUCUAGAAUGUAAAGUCAUUGGCAUAACUGAACAGAGUAGAAAGGGAGACGGAUCUGUGCGUAGUGAGAGAGCAGAACAUUAGUGGAAUUUCGAGUGGGUGUGACAUCCAGAAUCACAUGGUUUAGACAUUGACUGUCAAUACAUUCAGUUAUUCAAUAUAUAUCUUUUAACUGCCUACUAUAUGCUAAGCUCUCUACUAGGAACCAGGGCUUAUGAGAGAGGAAACAGAGAAGAAUCAUUGCCUUUCUGUAUCUUACUUGCCAAUAGCUUUGAUAGAAGAGAAUCACUCCCAUUUGUGUGGAGAACAGAGUGAAGGAGGGCAAGAAAGAAGCUGGGAGACUUGCCAGGCAGUUGUUAGAAAACCCCUACUAGGCUCAGACAUAUAUACCACGCCUUUUACCUCAACAUUACUGACAUGAUCACCAAAAUUGGGAAGGACAUAAGAUUAUGGAAACACUGCAUUUACUUUUUCAAAUGCAGUGAUGGGAAGUGCCUAGAUGACUACUAGGAAGUAUGUUUAAUUCUACUGGUCUGGAUUGGAGAAAGAAGACAGAGGCUUAGGGUGAGUUGGGGGAAAGAAACUGAAUGUUCUCAGGAAGACUGCUUUUCUUUUGUCCUGAGGAUACAGGAAGGCAUAAUAUAUUAGAACAAAAAAGACAAUUAGAGAAUACUUAUAACAAAUAUAAAAGUGGGGUCCCAAGGUGAAGUAAAAUAAAAUACAGUGCAUUUCCAGCCAAAGAUGCAAUUGGUUCAGUAAUGAUUGUUCAAGCCUUUUGCUAUAUGGAAUUGACUACUAGAAAUUAAAAUAACAUUGUAGCAACAAAUUAAUUUUUGGAAUUCACAUUAGUUGCAUAGUUACAGUAAAUGAAAGUGGAUUAAAUAGUUUUCUAAUUUUAAAACAACUUUUUUAAAUGUAAAACAAAAUUUUACUUCAGAAUACAAUGCUAACAUUUUAUAUCUUGACAGAAGAGGUAAGGAAGAUGAAGAAAAGGGUGGGUUUGUGAUACAAGCUUAAUGUUUGCAGUAAAGUAUAAAGAGAUCAGUCUAAAGUAAAACAAUAAGUAAAAUCUGAGAAUAUAAUGCAAAUAAAUUCAUAUAACGAGAAAUUCUAUCUCAGUUCUCAAUUUUCUCCUUCUAUGUGAUGAACACUCAGGUGAAAUUAUUCAAUAAAACAAACUUUUUUAUAAGCAAGAGACAACAUACUAUACCGUAAAAGAGUAAAAUGGUCAAAUAUAUAUACAAGCAAAAUAAUGAAGUGACUAUAAUAUCUACAAAUAUGAAUAUUUAAAUUAAUGUGCAUUUCUGGUGACUGGAUGAGCACUGAUAGUAAGGUAGGAUUUGACUUACAUUAAACUCUUUUGCUUUUUAAAAAAAAUGCAUAGCAACUAUUAUCUAGAAGAGCCAAUGUCUACAGAAAACAAAAAAGAGAGUUCAGUAAAAUAUAUGAAUGUCCUAAAAGGUGAAAAAGAGGAAGACUUAUAUAGGAAGUAGCAAUAGUGAAGUUUUAUGGAAGAUGUAGCAUUUCAAGUAUGCCUUAGGAGACAGAGCUUGAGAAGUACUGGAAGGAUUUCUUUUUUUUUUUUUUAAGGUUUUUUUUUUUUUUUUUAAUACUUUAAGUUCUAGGGUACAUGUGCAUAACGUGCAGGUUUGUUACAUAUGUGUACUUGUACCAUGUUGGUGUGCUGCUUCUUAAAUAGCAGAAGAGACACCUGUACAUCGGUAGUUGUGAAAGAGACAGUAAACACUGACAAACAAGUUUCUGUGGACUUUAAUUCUGUGACUGAUUUGCUCGAGUUAACAACAAUAUUACAAAAAAAAAAAAAAAAGACAUAAAACAAGAACCAGAAUCAAGUCAUGGAAAUAUGUCUUUAAGCCUAUAACAUUGACAGUUUUUUCCUACAUGAGAAAAUGUACAUAUAGAUGUCAUAAACCUUUCUUUGUCCUUCCCACAACAGCUCAGCCAAAUUUGGAACAGAAUUUCCAUUCUGUUAAAUUCUGUUAAAUACAGAAUUUCCAUUCUGUUAAAAAUACAUGAAGGAGGAUUUUUAUUAUUUAUAUAGUGUUCGCUACAUGUUAGUAACUGUUUUAAUUACUCUCGGAUGGCAAAUCAAUUGAAAACGACACCCAUUCAGUAUGCAUAAUUGUUUUAUUCACCGAUUCAAUUUUCCUUUUACUGGAUGAAGAUGCCUGAUUAAAUUAAUUUACUUGUGUUUCUCAGAAGAAUAAAGUUGGAGUGCAUGUUUUUGGCCAGAUGCAAAUGUAGUUAAAUAUAGUUGUUUAUAGAUAUAAAUUACUAAUACAUUUAUUACAAAUAAUAAGAUUAUG
rnacentral:lncRNA from 1 species